rnacentral:tRNA from 1 species
ACAUCUGCUGGAAUAAUGACUCUUCUCCAAAUUGGAGGUUUGGAAUCUAUUAGUUCUAUUUUAAUCUGAUAUGC